rnacentral:rRNA from 1 species
UACGGGGGGAGCAAGCGUUGUUCGGAUUUACUGGGCGUCAAGGGCGCGUAGGCGGCCAGCACAAGUCAGUUGUGAAAUCUCCGGGCUUAACUCGGAAAGGUCAACUGAUACUGUGCGGCUAGAGUGCGGAAGGGGCAACUGGAAUUCUCGGUGUAGCGGUGAAAUGCGUAGAUAUCGAGAGGAACACCUGCGGCGAAGGCGGGUUGCUGGGCCGACACUGACGCUGAUGCGCGAAAGCCAGGGGAGCGAACGGG